rnacentral:tRNA from 1 species
UCCCUGGUAGCUCAGUCGGUAAAGAUUCUGCCUGCAGUGCAGGAGACCCAGGUUCAAUCCCUGGUUCGGGAA